AUGCACAGCGAUUCCUGACAGGCAAGAAAUAGAUAUUGAAAAACAAGUCGUGUUUUGGAUUAGUGUGGCUUUGCGGUACCAGACGAAUGGAUUAUUUCCUGCCUGGCCUGGAAUCCUUGAUGUCUGGGGUGGGAGUGUUUUCAGGGCAGGGAAAUGAUAGCAGAUAAAGCCCCAGAGGAGGGGAGGACCGUGAUGUCUGCUCCAUGAAAUGAGUCAGAAAGCAAGGCUAAGGGAGCCAUUUUGCAUGUGUGUCAUUUAGAAAAUACACACGUAUUAUGUAUUUUAAGGCACUUGGACAUUUUUGUUACACGAGUGGAUAAUUGUUAUAAUCUGAAAGAUGGCUUUCCAUUGGGGAGGAAAAGGGUUUGAGUCCUUUCAACAACCCCUGGACCUCAUGUCAAUAGAAGGAACAAAGAAAUAACAAACGUACACCAGCUCAAGCCUGCGGAAGGUUUUCACACCCUCCUUAUAAACGUCUUAUUAACUGCAAGCCCCAUGAGGCCAAGGACUGUGUCUUUGUGUUGUCAUUAUGUAACAGGGAAGAACCUUUGUAUUCUAUGACAAGUUAAUCGCUAAAGGGAUAAGGGAUGUUGCUUAUAAGCUUAAAUUAUGCAUAAUGACCCAUCUCUGGGAACCCUGCCUCCCAGGUAAUGAGUGUUAGGUUAAAAUACCUUUGUUCAGCCCACAGGAAACAUCCUGACCAGCCUACCUGUGAAUGGCUGCAGGAAGGAAGAAAUUAGUACAUCCCCUCUGGAGGCUGCCUGGAACCAGGACUUUACUUCCUCCCCCUUUAGUAUAAAAGAAGUCUGAAUGCUAAUCCAGACUUCGCUCUUCCCAGCUGCACUUUCACCUCUGGCCAUUCAAAGGACACCAGAUUCUGAAACGUGCUCUGCACUCCUGCCCUCCACAGCAUAAUGCUUGUUGAGUGAUUGAAUGUUCCUGUCCAGACGGAUAAGCAGAGGGAGGUCCUGAGUCUCACCUGUGAGCAAGGAGAAGCGAUGUCCGGUCCUACAGGGCUGCAGGCAGAAUCAAUCAUCCUCUGAGGCCAGGAGUUCUGCUCUCAAAGUCCCCACAAGAAAGGACAAGCUUGGGUCCCAUGACAUCAAUCUAAGGAGCUGGGGCACCUACCAGACUGUUUCCAGCAUCACUAAUAGCUUCUUAUCAAUCUGGAGAUUGGGAUUGACACAUGUACACUAAUAUGUAUAAAAUGGAUAACUAAUAAGAACUUGCUGUAUAAAAAAAUAAAUAAAAUUAAAUUUAAAAAAA